ensembl:lncRNA
AUGAGCCACAGACUGACACGUUUGGUGACACGCGGAAAGAGAGGCAGAAAGGUGCCCAUACUUCUUCUUGAGCGCACAAAAGCUUCGCUUGACUUCCUGGUUGAAAAACGGAGGGAAGUUGGCAUACUUGAGGAGAACCCCUUUCUGUUUGCCAGGCUUAGCACAACAACCAAUCUCCGUGGGUGUGACUGCCUCAGAAGAUAUGCAGAAGAGAGCAAGGCCAAAAACCCAGAACUGCUGAGAUCAACAAGGUUGAGGAAACAUGUUGCUACCUUAUGUCAGCUUCUCGACCUCAGCAAUCAGGAACUUGAGCAAGUUGCUCGUUUUAUGGGACAUGAUAUCCGAGUCCACUGCGAGUAUUAUCGACAGACAGAUAAAACAUUCCAAGUGGCCAAGAUUGGCAAACUUCUGUUUGCGAUGGAGCAUGGAGCAGAGUCACUGAAAGGGAAGAGUCUGCAAACACUGGACUCCGUUAUCAGUGGCAAAAGACACUCAGCCACCCCAACUAAAGAUCUGAAAGGUGUCAAAAAGAGAAGGACGUCAGAUGCAGCAAUUCAACAAGAAGCUCAUGAAGAUGGACAGCAGCUGUCCACCACAAGCUCAUCAGCUCAAAGGAAAAAGAAGACUGUCACAACACAAAGACAAGAUGAUGAUGACUCCGCAGGAUGGUCACUUGGGAAGAGACAAUGUCAAACUUGA